AACGAACGCUGGCGGCAUGCCUAACACAUGCAAGUCGAACGAGACCUUCGGGUCUAGUGGCGCACGGGUGCGUAACGCGCGGGAACCUGCCCUUAGGUUCGGAAUAACUCCCCGAAAGGGGUGCUAAUACCGGAUAAUGUCUUCGGACCAAAGAUUUAUCGCCUUUGGAUGGGCCCGCGUUGGAUUAGCUAGUUGGUAGGGUAAAAGCCUACCAAGGCGACGAUCCAUAGCUGGUCUGAGAGGAUGAUCAGCCACACUGGGACUGAGACACGGCCCAGACUCCGACGGGAGGCAGCAGUGGGGAAUAUUGGACAAUGGGCGAAAGCCUGAUCCAGCAAGGCCGCGUGAGUGAUGAAGGCCUUAGGGUUGUAAAGCUCUUUUACCCGGGAUGAUAAUGACAGUACCGGGAGAAUAAGCUCCGGCUAACUCCGU
rnacentral:rRNA from 1 species